UGUACUCCCUAGGGAGAAGGAAACCAGUUGGUUCAAGCUAGUAGACAGUUGGGCCUUUCAUGAAGAGGAUGUCUCACAGAUGGCAGCCAUGAGUUAUAUGCAGAUUGAUGCUGCUAUCUAGGAGCAGUUUCUGGAGAACCAGUUGCAAAUGUACCAGCCUUCUCCCUCGCUCUCCAGUCUUCUGGUCAUAACCAUAGAAAUUCUAACUACUUGUGCAUGGGAUUGCUCUGUGAUGGAAUAGUGUCCAUUUUCCCAAAGGAGGAACAGGUCGGAAAACCAGGAUCUUCUGCACGAUGGUGAGAAGGACAAACCCUGCAGAGAGCUGUAUGGAUGACUAAAGUUAUUGGGCCCAGGUCAUCAGCAUCACUCAUCCAGACAUCUGCAAUCACCUGAGCUAUCUUUUCCUCUAGAGAGUCUCAUCCUCAACCAGCAUCCAGAGCCAAUCACUCACAGCAUUUCAAUACCUUUGAACAGCACACUGCAAUGAAGUCCAUGCUCCCUUCUUUGGGUUUGAGGCAGCCCACCUCGACUCCCGGGCCACCAUGGAUGUUGUUUCUGGUUGUCUUCUGUCUCCAUGCAUUACUCAUUCUCCCUCUCGUAUUACCUAUGGCUGCUGAAUGCGAGCGAUCCCCCAUCAACAGAAGGGAAGGUUUGGAUCUGCAGGAGACUGCGAGAUGAACUCCGCUUCUUCUUGGACUUAAGAGAGUCUUGCAUAAGGAUAGAAUCUUUUCUGGUCUGGAGAAGGUCCUACCUCUGUGCUUCCCUUUACUAUAUACAGCCCCCAAGCUUGCAACGGCCAACUAGGACCCUUUGUAACCUUCUAAACACAUGUGGAAAAUUGAAAGGGCUGGGUGGCCCUUUUUCAGACUUUAUCUUGGACACUAAAUCUUGAUUGGAAUGAACAAAUCACGACCCAUCUGUUGGAACUUCUCUACCUGACUGAGCUGCUGAGCCUCUCCUUUGUCCUGUUCCCCACGCCUUCCAGAGUGAUUAUCAGAUCUAGGAUGGGUUCUGGGUAUUGUCACAAACUACACUCUGCUCCUCUGAGACCUUUGAUUCUCUGAAUCCUAGGCUUUUGCCAGCACCAAGAUCAGCUUAGCUCUGUUGAUGAUUCUAAACAUGACAGUACUUCACUAGACAAUUAUAUGAGCUCUUCUGAGGAGAAUUCCUAUCACCCAAAUCCUCUCAUGAUUUGGGUGGGAGAUCAUCCACCUGCUCACUAACCCUUUAAUUAUAUCAUAAGUUUCCAGAGCUAACUCAGAGAAUACCAAGAACUUUUAGAUGAAACAGGGUAGGCUGUGGUGUGCUCAUGUUGGUUAGAGGUUAGGAGAGGAGGGUACGUUUACUUGUUAUUGACUGAUAUAAAUAGAAAAUUGUUUAGAAGGUUUUUUAUCCUAACCUACUCCAUGAGAUGAAAUAGAAUCUAUACCUGAUAUGGUUAAACUGUCCAAGAACUUGAGACUAGAGAAAUUAUGGACCCUAUGGGAAAACAUACUGCUAUUACUCUGCUAAAGAAACAUAGCCAUAGAAUGUCACUCCUAACAACAUAUUUCUAU